GCCGCUGUGGUGGAAUGGUAGACACGACAGAUUCAAAAUCUGUUGCUGGUAACAGCGUCUCGGUUCGAGUCCGAGCAGCGGCA
rnacentral:tRNA from 2 species